UGAUGAUCAUGUUGAUUACAGCUAUGAUGUUCAUGUUGAUUAUGGUGAUGAUGUUCAUAAUGCUCAUGCUCAUGUUGAUGUUGUAGAUGAUGAUGAUGAUGGUGAGAGGAACUAACAUGACUGCCACCACAUUUCUGAGGUUGAGGUAUGUUUUCUGUCUCAUGGCUAUGAUGGUGAUGGUGAUCAUGCUCAUGCUCAUGAUCAUGCUCAUGUUGAUGUUGUAGAUGAUGAUGAUGAUGGUGAGAGGAACUAACAUGACUGCCACCACAUUUCUGAGGUUGAGACAUGUUUUCUGUCUCAUGGCUAUGAUGGUGAUGGUGAUCAUGCUCGUGAUCAUGCUCAUGUUGAUGGUGGCGAUGGUGAUGGUGAUCAUGCUCAUGCUCAUGUUGAUGGUGAU
rnacentral:lncRNA from 1 species